CACGUGGGUAACCUGCCUUAUAGUGGGGGAUAGCCUUUCGAAAGGAAGAUUAAUACCGCAUAAGAUUGUAGUAUCGCAUGAUAUAGCAAUUAAAGGAGCAAUCCGCUAUAAGAUGGACCCGCGUCGCAUUAGCUAGUUGGUGAGGUGAUGGCUCACCAAGGCGACGAUGCGUAGCCGACCUGAGAGGGUGAUCGGCCACGUUGGGACUGAGACACGGCCCAGACUCCUACGGGAGGCAGCAUG
rnacentral:rRNA from 1 species